rnacentral:rRNA from 1 species
AAUUACCCAUUCCCGACACGGGGAGGUAGUGACGAAAAAUAACAAUACAGGACUCACAUGAGGCCCUGUAAUUGGAAUGAGUACAUUCUAAAACUCUUAACGAGUAUCCAUUGGAGGGCAAGUCUGGUGCCAGCAGCCGCGGUAAUUCCAGCUCCAAUAGUGUAUGCUAAAGUUGUUGCGGUUGAAAAGCUCGUAGUUGGAUUUUGGGCGGGCGCGGCCGGUCCGUCGCAGGGCGUGUUACUGGCCGCGUUCGCCUCACCUUCGGUUCUCUGUCGGUGCUCUUGACUGAGUGUCGGCGGUGUCCGAUAAGUUUACUUUGAAAAAAUUAGAGUGUUCAAAGCAGGCUGCUCGCCUGAAUAGUGUUGCAUGGAAUAAUGGAAUAGGACCUCGGUUCUAUUUUGCUGGUUUUCGGAGCACGAGGUAAUGAUUAAGAGGGACAGACGGGGGCGUCCGUACUCUGCCGUUAGAGGUGAAAUUCUUGGAUCGGCGGAAGACGAACUACUGCGAAAGCAUUCGCCAAGAAUGUUUUCUUUAAUCAAGAGCGAAAGUCAGAGGUUCGAAGACGAUCAGAUACCGUCCUAGUUCUGACUAUAAACGAUGCCAACUAGCGAUCGGGAGGCGUUACCAUGACGACCUUCCCGGCAGCUUCCGGGAAACCAAAGUCUUUGGGUUCCGGGGGAAGUAUGGUUGCAAAGCUGAAACUUAAAGGAAUUGACGGAAGGGCACCACCAGGAGUGGAGCCUGCGGCUUAAUUUGACUCAACACGGGGAAACUCACCCGGCCCGGACACAGGUAGGAUUGACAGAU